AUACGAAGGGGGCUAGCGUUGCUCGGAAUUACUGGGCGUAAAGGGAGCGUAGGCGGACAUUUAAGUCAGGGGUGAAAUCCCAGAGCUCAACUCUGGAACUGCCUUUGAUACUGGGUGUCUUGAGUGUGAGAGAGGUAUGUGGAACUCCGAGUGUAGAGGUGAAAUUCGUAGAUAUUCGGAAGAACACCAGUGGCGAAGGCGACAUACUGGCUCAUUACUGACGCUGAGGCUCGAAAGCGUGGGGAGCAAACAGGAUUAGAUACCCUGGUAGUCCACGCUGUAAACGAUGAUUGCUAGUUGUCGGGAUGCAUGCAUUUCGGUGACGCAGCUAACGCAUUAAGCAAUCCGCCUGGGGAGUACGGUCGCAAGAUUAAA
rnacentral:rRNA from 1 species